rnacentral:piRNA from 1 species
UGGAAGGCCAACGAAGCCCAAGCCUCUAAGC